rnacentral:rRNA from 1 species
GUAGGGAAUAUUGCGCAAUGGGGGAAACCCUGACGCAGCGACGCCGCGUGAGUGAUGAAGGCCUUCGGGUCGUAAAGCUCUGUUGCAGGGGAAUAAAAAAAUGAAGGUACUCUGUGAGGAAGGAUCGGCUAACUUCGUGCCAGCAGCCGCGGUAAGACGAGGGAUCCUAGCGUUGCUCGGAAUCAUUGGGCGUAAAGAGGGCGUAGGUGGCUUGGUAAGUCAGGUGUGAAAGCCCAGGGCUCAACCCUGGAAGUGCAUUUGAUACUGCUGAGCUUGAGUGUCGGAGAGGUUACCGGAAUACCUGGUGUAGUGGUGAAAUACGUAGAUAUCAGGUGGAACACCGGAGGCGAAGGCGGGUAACUGGACGAACACUGACACUGAGGCCCGAAAGCGUGGGGAUCAAACAGGAUUAGAAACCCCUGUAGUCC